UGAGGUAGAUGGUUGUAUGGUAGAGAGUCUUAUCACUAAACAUGGAGGACCGUACAACCUUCUAGCUUUAC
rnacentral:pre_miRNA from 1 species